GAUUCAUGAGUCCAAAAAGGACAGUCUUUUCAUCUAUCCAUCUUAUAACUGACAUGGCUCCUAAGGAACAGCAAAACCUGAAGCAAAUUAUGGGAACAAGCAUUUGUCCACCACGCACAUGAAGCCACUCUUUAGUUUUCUACACCAGAAGUUCCAACAUCAAGCUACAUUCAAAGAGAGAAACAACACAUUCGAUACACAAGUUAUGAAGAGUCGGAAAUUCCUCAUAAGAUAGAACAUGUGCAAUUGAAUUCCAACUAUUAGGUUUUCUGUGGAAAAAAACAUACGUGUGUGCAUAUAUAUGGCCAUCUGAUCAUUUUAAAAGCAUACUCAGAAUACGUUAAAAAAACACCAUGAGUAUGAAUUAUGUAUGCUCUAAGUACUUAACUUCUCUUUCUGCAUUUAUGCCAUUGUUUCUUAUCUCUUUAUAUCUUGAACUUUUUAUUUCCCCCCUCUCUCACUCUAUGACUACUGAACAAAACUUUCAUUUCUAAUAUCCAACUUCAUUAACUCAGCAGGGAUGGCAGAUGUUUACUAUCACCAAAAUGCAGCGUAACACUUGCAUACUGAUUUAUGACAUGCAUCUUUAUAAACUGCUCGGUGAAAUGCAUACACAAUUGAUUGCAAAUUGGUCAUACCAAAUAUUGAGUACUUUAUUAAUUACUGGCAAAAGCUAAGGAGCCACACAAAAGCAUCAUAUCUGAAUAAGGAAUUUUAUUUGAAAUGUGAAAUUUCAUUAUGAAUAAAUUCCAUAAAAUGAA